rnacentral:SRP_RNA from 1 species
AGAUGUGGUGGCACACACCUGUAGUCCCAAGUACUUGGGAGGCGGAGGCAGGAGGAUUGCUUGAGUCUGUACAGGAGUUCCAGGCCACAGUGCACUAUGCCGGUUGGGUGUCUGCACUAAGUUUGGCAUUAGUAUGGUGACCUCCGGGGAAUGGGGGACCACCAGGUUGCCUAAGGAGGGGAGAAUUGGCCCAGGUCAGAAACAGAGCAGGUCAAAAUUCCCUUGCUGACCACACCUGUGAAAGGCCACUGCACUCCAGCCUGACCAACACAGCGAGACCCCACCUUUU